UCGGGAAUUUUACACAAUGGGGGCAACCCUGAUGUAGCAACGCCGCGUGAGUGAUGAAGGUCUUCGGAUCGUAAAGCUCUUUUAAUAGGGAAGAAAAAAAUGACGGUACCUAUAGAAAAAGCACCGGCUAACUCCGUGCCAGCAGCCGCGGUAAUACGGAGGGUGCAAGCGUUAUUCGGAUUUACUGGGCGUAAAGCGCGUGUAGGCGGUUUAGUAAGUUUGAUGUGAAAGUCCACGACUCAAUCGUGGAAGUGCAUUGGAUACUGCUAGACUAGAGUAUAGGAGAGGAGAACGGAAUUCCUGGUGUAAAGGUUAAAUUUGUAGAUAUCAGGAGGAACAACAGUGGCGAAGGCGGUUCUCUGGACUAUGACUGACGCUGAGACGCGAAAGUGUGGGGAGC
rnacentral:rRNA from 1 species